rnacentral:rRNA from 1 species
AAUUUUCUGGUGUUAAAGAAAGGAUUUUUAUUGAAAUUAUAUUAUUGUUGAGAAUAACAAUAAUUUCUUCAAGACAAAAAGACCCUAGAAUUUUAGUUUUACUUAUUGGUAAAUCUUUGUUGGGGAAAUUUUAAUAAAAAAAUUU